rnacentral:rRNA from 1 species
UACGUAGGGUGCAAGCGUUGUCCGGAAUUAUUGGGCGUAAAGAGCUCGUAGGCGGUCUGUCGCGUCUGCUGUGAAAACCUAGGGCUUAACUCUGGGCGUGCAGUGGGUACGGGCAGGCUAGAGUGCGGUAGGGGAGAUUGGAAUUCCUGGUGUAGCGGUGGAAUGCGCAGAUAUCAGGAGGAACACCGGUGGCGAAGGCGGCUCUCUGGACCGAUACUGACGCUGAGGCGCGAAAGCGUGGGGAGCAAACAGG